GAUGAAGAACGUAGCGAAAUGCGAUAAGUAAUGUGAAUUGCAGAAUUCAGUGAAUCAUCGAAUCUUUGAACGCACAUUGCGCCCGCCAGUAUUCUGGCGGGCAUGCCUGUUCGAGCGUCAUUACAACCCUCAGGCCCCCGGGCCUGGCGUUGGGGAUCGGCGGAGCCCCCCGUGGGCACACGCCGUCCCCCAAAUGCAGUGGCGGUCCCGCCGCAGCUUCCAUCGCGUAGUAGCUAACACCUCGCGACUGGAGAGCGGCUCGGCCACGCCGUAAAACACCCAACUCUUCUGAAGUUGACCUCGAAUCAGGUAGGAAUACCCGCUGAACUUAAGCAUAUCAAUAAGCGGAGGA
rnacentral:misc_RNA from 1 species